GAGCUGUGGACUAACAGAGAGAUGUUGUGAAGACCUGGCCUCUGUUCUUCAGUCUCAACACUCCAGUCUAAGAGAGCUGGAUCUGAGUUACAAUAACCUGGGGGACUCAGGAGUGAAACUGCUGUCUGCAGCUCUGAGGGAUCCCAACUCUAAAUUAACAAAACUGAGAACCGAGGGAUGUGAGUAAAUCUAAACAUUGAAGAAGAUUCCUUAGUGGAGCAAGGUGGCAGAAUUCCUUAUCUUUAAAGAGACAGAACAAACUCCUCCAGAUGUUCAUCAAACAUCACAGUCUGCAGACCUGCUGAUCAAACCCCUCUGAGCAGACUGUGUUUCCAUUGUGCUCUAGUAUAUGUGGAAGGUCAAGAUAGGUCUCCCUCCUGCUCUGGGUCUGGACAGUGUGUAAUAGUGUGUAGUUUGUUUCUAAGUUCUAGAAUUAAAAAAAGAUCGUUUCUUAAACAUAUAAUUAGUUCUGUUGGUUUGCUAUGCACAUUUUGUCUUAAUAAAAAUUGGAUUUUGCAUACA